CCAGAACCUACGACUACGAGUGCUCUCCGGUCAUUUCAAGAAUUCGGGUAAGCGGCUUUCAGUUACAGGUUGCUCUGGUUACUCUUCAGCUUUAUUACUGGUUUUCCGGCGAGUCGUGUUGUGGACUUUCUGUUAUCAGUGUUUAGCUUUCAAGAGUUGGAUUCUUAUGAACUCUUACACCAUUGGUGAAGCAGAGAGUGUUCCGUUGAUCGAAGUUACUGCAAAUUGAUAACCUGACGGAAGAAAUUAUCCAUUCUUUUUCUGUGAGAAACAUGAGAUCAGAUCGAACAAUCAUGUAUGUCUUAAGUGCUGGUUAGAGGAUUUCGAAGUGAUGUUAGAUUGGAGCACCUAUGAGCUUGAAGGCACCGUGUGGGAUGAGUUUAGCGAGAAUGAUGAUCAUUUAGUACCUUAUCCUGGUGGUGAAGAAGUGUUUGACUCUGCAGGUCAAGUUAAUUGCCAUAAGAAGCCACGGCAUGAAAAUGCAAGUGCAUUUUCAAACAGUGCAAAUGGCAAGUAUGCUGCUAAAGGUGCCCUCCACAGAAAAGAUGAAACAAGUUUUGCAACUGUGAAGGACCAGAAGGCUCCAAUGCCGCGAAUGGGUUCAUGGUCUUGCACAACUGAUGGAGUCUUUCCAGCUUCAUGUGAUACUGACUCCAUUAAGGGAAUGUCAACGUUAACUGCUGAUGGUACUAAGCUACCUAGUAACUGCUUCAAUAGUAACCACAUAGAUUUUAUUAGCAAUGAGUUUUGUGCAAAUGAUCCUAUUCUUGGUAAUAGAAGUGCUGUAAUAGGCAGCAGCUUGUGCCACUUUCCACUUGGUGAUAUUUCUUCAACAGGCAGUGACCUUGAAUUUUUUGCUAAUGUUCAUGAGGACAAGGAGAACAGUGGUCAUCCGUAUUACGGUUGGCCUGAUAUUGGCAAUUUUGAGGACGUUGACAAAAUGUUUAGAAACUGUGAUUCCACAUUCGGAUACGGAAUUAUUAUGGGUCAUGAUGAUGAGUUGUCAUGCUUUUCAUCUUCCUCUCUUGCCAUUGAUGGUUCUGAAGAUGCUAUGAAAUCAGGCCUUAAAUCUUCAUUAUCAGAUUCAAAUGAAUUGAGAAGUACAUCCGAGCAUCAUGAACCCGAUCUGAAAUUUGUGGUUGACACUGUCUCUCCUGUGAUCAAUUAUUCUGGUGAAAAUAGUGUACCCAACAAUUAUAAGAUUGAUUCUCGGGUACUAGAUUCUGGUGAACCUAAUACUUUGGGUCACAAAUCUUAUGUUAGUUGGUCUAAUGCAAAUGCUGAAAAUAGGGAGCAAUCUGUAUCCAUUAAACAGAUCAAUUUGCAAAAUCAGCAGUUGAAGCAACACAAUCAAUCUGAAGAAAAAAUUAAAAAACAAUCCUCAGAAUUCAAAGCUGACAGUCCUUCCCAUGGUCUUGGUCCUUUUCAACAAUUUGCAAAUGUGAAGGUUCCCCCUUCUGUUCCCUCAUACCCACACGUUUUUCCUUCUCUAGACAUUCCACAACAACAGCAAAACGUAAAACCUAAUUUUUCAAGUUACUCGCACAGACAAAUGCCUUACAUUCACCCAGAGUAUAAAGAUCCUUCACACCAAGUUCCAGUUACACCAACAUCCAGUAUCAAGACAGAAAAUAAUGGUCAUCCUUCUGUUUCUUCAAAAGCUUCUUCCUAUGCAUCAAAUCAUGCUCAACCCAUAAAAAGGUCUCCUGAUUCUUCACCCAAAGCUUCAGCUAUGAAAUCAGGGAAAAAGGUGGGAAAACCUUUUCAACAGCAGCAGCUACAUGUCCAACUAACUGGUGAUCCUCAAUAUGAGGACUUGGGGAUGAGAACUGCAUUUACCAGUCAAGUUUCAACCCAGAAAUACCCAUCUCAAAUUCGAGAUGAAGUUGGAGCUCAGAGCAAAAUUGAAGGAACAAACAUUGUACUUCCAGCAGAGGAUUCUUCAAUUGUACAGCAAAGCUCUUGCAUGAGCUCUGCGCUGUCUGUUGUAGUACCACUAGAAGAAACUAGUUUUCAGCAGCUUCAAUAUAUCAUGGAACAGCUGGAUAUUAGGACGAAGUUGUGCAUAAGAGACAGUCUGUACCGCUUGGCUAGAAGUGCUGAACAAAGACAUAAUAUUGGAAAUUUAGAUGCUUGCAGCAGAAACUGUAGUGUUAAAACUGGAGUAUUGAAGACCGAAGAAUCAAAUAAUUCUUGUGCAGAUGCACACGAUUUAUGGAUAUGGAAACUGAUACAAAUCCCAUAGAUCGGUCAUUAGCGCAUUUACUUUUCCACAAGCCCUCGGAUGUUUCUACGAUGGCCAUUAACGAUGUCUUGUCCCAAGAGUCGCAUGCUAUGCUUCAUUGGUCUAUUUCAACUCAACCUGCGAUGUCAGAGAAACUGGUUUGCCCUGAAGAAGUCGCUGGUGGUGCAGAAACAGAGCUGCAUACUGAGAAGUAGAAUGUGAGCUUCAGCUGCAACUCAAAUGGAACACUUCCAUGUAUUUCAAAUUGCUGGGUGAUAUGUAUAAAUAAUAUUUUGAAGAGGCACCAGCAAACAUUUCAGGUUUGAUGGCAUCUUCUGGGAAUGUCAUUCUAUGUCAUAUAGCCUCAAAGCCCGCGUAUCACUUUGUGCUUCAAAUUUAACCGUACACGUGUUUAAGAUAUUUAUCUUCUCACCGGUUGCACAUAUUCAGCAUUUAAUUUGUAUGUUAACUUCAUGUCUUGUAAUAUACCUACUCAUUUCUGAGUAAAAGAAAAGGGAAAAAAAAAAAAAAAGAGUGGCUAAGAGUUGCUUCAUUUUUGCUUUAA